AUCGUUUCUCUGCCUUUUGGCUAAGAUCAAGUGUAGUAUCUUUAAUACUGUUUGUAUGAAGCCAUGUUAUGUACAACGUAAUGCACUGAAUUUGUAAUUGUAUUUCAAUGUGAAAUGAAAAUAAAAAUCAUUUUCCCCCCCCAAAAAAUCUAUUCUUAUCAGUUUAAUAUCUGAUACGUCCCCUAUCUGGGGACCAUAUAUUAAAUUGAUUUUUGGAACAGGGAGAUGGAAUAGGGGCUUGCUUCGUCCACUCUAUGUAUCGACCUGGUAUUACAGUACUUCCAGGAACGGUGCACCCGCC
rnacentral:snRNA from 1 species